rnacentral:rRNA from 1 species
UAUUGCACAAUGGGCGAAAGCCUGAUGCAGCGACGCCGCGUGAGGGAUGACGGCCUUCGGGUUGUAAACCUCUUUCAGCAGGGAAGAAGCGCAAGUGACGGUACCUGCAGCAGAAGCACCGGCUAACUACGUGCCAGCAGCCGCGGUAAUACGUAGGGUGCGAGCGUUGUCCGGAAUUAUUGGGCGUAAAGGGCUCGUAGGCGGUUUGUCGCGUCGGGAGUGAAAACCUCAUGCUUAACAUGUGGCUUGCUUUCGAUACGGGCAGACUAGAGGUAUGCAGGGGAGAACGGAAUUCCUGGUGUAGCGGUGAAAUGCGCAGAUAUCAGGAGGAACACCGGUGGCGAAGGCGGUUCUCUGGGCAUUACCUGACGCUGAGGAGCGAAAGUGUGGGGAGC